AAAGAGCUAGGGUUGAGUUUUGUGACGAUCCCAAUUAUCACGUGAAACACGGAGACUUCUUCUCCUUUCUCUCAAAUCACUCGGCCAGAGCCACCUCCUUCAACUGUCUCCGCCUUUCUCUUCUCCUCAUUGUCUCAAUUGGAUUUCGCUGCAACUCAACCUUCCACUUCCCGUCCAAAUCGCCGAUGAAACUUCGAUCUUCUCCGAUCAACUAUUCUUCUUCCUUCUAUUUCUCUAUGUAUUCAUUGUUGAUUUUGCGAUUAAGAGAAGCAAUGAUGCGUUGGCGAUGCUGA